rnacentral:rRNA from 1 species
UACGAAGGGGGCUAGCGUUGCUCGGAAUUACUGGGCGUAAAGCGCACGUAGGCGGCUUUGUAAGUAAGAGGUGAAAGCCCAGAGCUCAACUCUGGAAUUGCCUUUUAGACUGCAUCGCUUGAAUCAUGGAGAGGUCAGUGGAAUUCCGAGUGUAGAGGUGAAAUUCGUAGAUAUUCGGAAGAACACCAGUGGCGAGGGCGGCUGACUGGGCAUGUAUUGACGCUGAGGUGCGAAAGCGUGGGGAGCAAACAGG